GAGAGGGAGCCUGAGAAAUGGCUACCACAUCCAAGGAUGGCAGCAGGCGCGCAAAUUACCCACUCUCAGUACGAGGAGGUAGUGACGAAAAAUAACAAUGCGGGACUCAUCAGAGGCCUCGCAAUUGGAAUGAGCGCACUUUAAAUCGUUCGACGAGGAUCUAUUGGAGGGCAAGUCUGGUGCCAGCAGCCGCGGUAAUUCCAGCUCCAAUAGCGUAUAUUAAAGUUGUUGCAGUUAAAAAGCUCGUAGUUGGAUCUGGGGUUCGGGUCGGCGGUUUGCCGCUUCGGCGGCUACUGCCGUGCUCGACUCUUACUAGCCGGUGCGUCUUGCGGUGCUCUUCAUCGAGUGCCGUAGGAGCCUGGCAUGUUUACUUUGAAAAAAUUAGAGUGCUCAAAGCAGGCGAUUCCGCCUGAAUAGUGUUGCAUGGAAUAAUGGAAUAGGACCUCGGUUCUAUUUUGUUGGUUUUCGGAACUUGAGGUAAUGAUUAAGAGGGACGGUCGGGGGCAUUCGUAUUUCGGUGUUAGAGGUGAAAUUCUUGGAUCGCUGAAAGACGGACAAAUGCGAAAGCAUCUGCCAAGAACGUCUCCAUUAAUCAAGAACGAAAGUCAGAGGUUCGAAGACGAUCAGACACCGUCCUAGUUCUGACCAUAAACGAUGCCAACUAGCGAUCCGCAGUGGUUGCUAUAAACGGACUCUGCGAGCAGCUUCCGGGAAACCAAAGUGUUUGGGUUCCGGGGGAAGUAUGGUUGCAAAGCUGAAACUUAAAGGAAUUGACGGAAGGGCACCACCAGGAGUGGAGCCUGCGGCUUAAUUUGACCCAACACGGGGAAACUCACCCGGUCCGGACACUGUAAGGAUUGACAGAUCGAGAGCUCUUUCUUGAUUCGGUGGAUGGUGGUGCAUGGCCGUUCUUAGUUGGUGGAGUGAUUUGUCUGGUUAAUUCCGAUAACGAACGAGACUCUAGCCUGCUAACUAGUUGCGCCGUGUUCAUACGCGGCUGUAGACUUCUUAGAGGGACAGGUGGCGUUUAGCCACACGAAAUUGAGCAAUAACAGGUCUGUGAUGCCCUUAGAUGUCCGGGGCCGCACGCGCGCUACACUGAAGGAGUCAGCGCGUGCUAUCCGGGCUCGGAAGAGUUCGGUAACCCGUUGAAACUCCUUCGUGCUUGGGAUUGUGGCUUGUAAUUAUCGCGCAUGAACGAGGAAUUCCCAGUAAGUGCAAGUCAUCAGCUUGCGCUGACUACGUCCCUGCCCUUUGUACACACCGCCCGUCGCUACUACCGAUUGAAUGGUUUAGCAAGGUACUCGGAUUGGUCUCGAUCUUGUACGAAAGUGCGGGAUCUGUGGCCGAGAAGAAGGCCAAACUUGAUCAUUUAGAGGAAGUAAAAGUCGUAACAAGGUU
rnacentral:rRNA from 1 species